AACCUUUAAGACUUGCGGCAAAGUGGGCCAAGGUCAUUUCUGGCUCGCCCGACUCUUCAACAGCUGUGUGAGCACCUCCCUAAACUGCUUCGACUGUGAUCGGAGGGUCAGCAGCUCCUGUCCCGGAGAGCCGUAGCCCCGCAGGCUUUUGAAGCAAGUCUCCUGUGGAUAAUGAGCAGAGAUCUGGAAAGCAGGCCCGCCCCACCUCAUUAAGCAACUGCUUGAUUCAUUUAUCGUUGAUUUGAUUCAGUUAAAACAAUCAGAGCUCGGCUGGAUUAAAAUCCCAAGAAGGUGCUGUGGCCCCACGGACCCCCAGGUCAUGAUUAAUUUCACCAGAGUGCAGCAGGCCCUUAUCUGAGGGUUCGUGGUGCUGAUUGGCUGACUGUUAAGCUGGUCUGAUCCUCUCAGAUAAGACCCUGUAGAGAGCUGCUCAAGAACGCAUUUCACAGCUGCAGAGGUGAAAGUCCUAUAAGGGGUCUCCCAGGAUUACCCAGCUAAUCCAGCCUUCCUAAAAUAAGUAGCCAAACGGAUACAGGACGUAAUACAAAGGAAAUGAAAACCGGACUAGCACCAUUUUAUUUAAACAAUACAUAUAUUCUGAAAUAAAUGCAAGUUUACAGGGAUAUUAUUUAGUGUCUGUAACACGUGUUUGAUGUUACAGCUCUCUCAAAAUCGUAUAAAAUCCUAUACUCUGGGCCUCUAAUGUAGCAAGUCCCUCAUUCUUAAUUGCAGACGAGUUAUUUUUUCAUCUGGGACACAUUUUUAAACGUGCUUUCGACUCUUGAAAGGUCAACUGGGAUUUGUAAUUGGUACCUAACCCCUUUCCAGUCUCCCAGUUUCUGGGUUUCAGGAGUGUACCCAUUCAGGUGUGGAAGCUGAAAUUGAACCAACUGGACUUGAGCAACAGGAAAAGACAAAAGCAUCAGCUGGGAGUGCUUUAUACAAUUUAGCCCUGGAGUCGAACCCGUCGGACCACCCCCGAGCCAGCACCAUCUUCCUCAGCAAGUCGCAGACCGACGUGAGAGAUAAAAGGAAAAGCAAUCACAUCAACCACGUGUCUCCUGGGCAGCUGACAAAGAAAUACAGCUCCUGUUCCACCAUAUUUAUUGAUGACAGCACAGUCAGCCAGCCUAAUUUAAAAAGCACAAUAAAAUGUGUUACGUUAGCAAUAUACUACCAUAUAAAAAACAGGUAAGGCUGGUCUCUGUGUUCUUCCACUUCCUUCGCCUGCACGCGAUACCGAUUGAUUCUGGCCGAUGCGCGGGUCUUGAAUUUGGUCUCCGCGCCGCGCCUUCUGCGUUUCUCC